rnacentral:lncRNA from 1 species
AGUGGGGCCCUAAUCCAAUAGGACUGCUAUUCUUACCAGAACAGGAAGAGACACCAGAGAGCCCUCUCUGUGCAUACAGAGGCAAGACCAUAUGAGAAUACAGCAAGGAGGGGGCCACCUGCAAGACAGAAAGAGGCGCCUCACUAGAAACCAAUCCUGUUGGCACCUUGAUCUUAGACUUCUAGCUGCCAGAACUAGAACGGGACCACCCAUCUUGAUGUACUAUUUGUGCAAAUAAUGGAAAAGCAUCCCUGUCUCAAGACACUUGACAAUAACCUGCUAGAAAAUUGUCAUAACAAACACACAAUGGGCAUUUAUCAAGAGACAAGAGAAAUGGCUUAGACAGAUCUCAACUUCAUCCAACUGUUUUUCAAUCCCUCGUGAUAAAUUUCUGCAUAAGAUGAAGAAGCAUGGUCUAGUUAACCGUGGAGCUACGUGCAGUUAUUUUUAAAAUCUGUAAGGUAUGUUAUUGGGUGGAAGAAAAAUAAAAACAAGGUUAAAACAGUGUAUGUGAUGUCAUCAACUGUAUGAGAGAAGGAGAGAGUAUGUAUUUUAUCUGCCUGUAUAUGCAUGAAAACAUCUCCGGCAGGACAUUAAAGAAUGUAUAGUCUUUGGGAGUCAUGAAGAAAGGGCAGAAGGGAGACAGAGAUAAGAGAAAAUCCUUUUGCUGUGUGAUGCUUGUAAUUUCUUAAAAACCAUGAGAAUGUAUUAUUACCUAUUCAAAAUAAAUACAAAUACACAUACAUAUAAUUAUGUAUCACAACUCAUUUAGAAAACUUAUCAAAAGACCAUUAAAGGGAUGGAUACAUAUCUUCCCAGAGUGGGGACUCUGAUGAUAACCUCUCCCA